GUGGGGAAUAUUGGGCAAUGGGCGAAAGCCUGACCCAGCAACGCCGCGUGAAGGAAGAAGGUCUUCGGAUCGUAAACUUCUAUCCUUGGUGAAGAUAAUGACGGUAGCCGAGAAGGAAGCCCCGGCUAACUACGUGCCAGCAGCCGCGGUAAUACGUAGGGGGCGAGCGUUGUUCGGAAUGACUGGGCGUAAAGGGCGCGUAGGCGGCCGAUUAAGUCUGGAGUGAAAGUCCUGUUUUUAAGGCGGGAAUUGCUUUGGAGACUGGUUGGCUUGAGUGCGGAAGAGGUAAGUGGAAUUCCCAGUGUAGCGGUGAAAUGCGUAGAUAUCGGGAGGAACACCAGUGGCGAAGGCGGCCUGCUGGACAUUAACUGACGCUGAGGCGCGAAAGCGUGGGGAGCAAACAGGAUUAGAAACCCCUGUAGUCC
rnacentral:rRNA from 1 species